rnacentral:rRNA from 1 species
AGCAGCCGCCGCGGUAAUACGUAGGUGGCAAGCGUUGUCCGGAAUUAUUGGGCGUAAAGGGCUCGCAGGCGGUUUCUUAAGUCUGAUGUGAAAGCCCCCGGCUCAACCGGGGAGGGUCAUUGGAAACUGGGAAACUUGAGUGCAGAAGAGGAGAGUGGAAUUCCACGUGUAGCGGUGAAAUGCGUAGAGAUGUGGAGGAACACCAGUGGCGAGGGCGACUCUCUGGUCUGUAACUGACGCUGAGGAGCGAAAGCGUGGGGAGCGAACAGGAUUAGAUACCCCGGUAGUCCCUGUCUCUUAUAA